UAGGGUUAACGCCCAGAAGAGCCGCAGUGAAUAGGCCCAAGCGACUGUUUAUCAAAAACACAGGUCUCUGCUAAACCGUAAGGUGAUGUAUAGGGGCUGACGCCUGCCCGGUGCUGGAAGGUUAAGAAGAGUGGUUAGCUUCUGCGAAGCUACGAAUCGAAGCCCCAGUAAACGGCGGCCGUAACUAUAACGGUCCUAAGGUAGCGAAAUUCCUUGUCGGGUAAGUUCCGACCCGCACGAAAGGCGUAACGAUUU
rnacentral:rRNA from 1 species